rnacentral:ncRNA from 1 species
UGACCUCAAAUCGGGUGGGACUACCCGCUGAACUUAAGCAUAUCAAUAAGCGGAGGAAAAGAAACUAACAAGGAUUCCCCUAGUAACUGCGAGUGAAGCGGGAAAAGCUCAAAUUUAAAAUCUGGCGGUCUUUGGCCGUCCGAGUUGUAGUCUGGAGAAGUGCUUUCCGCGCUGGACCGUGUACAAGUCUCCUGGAACGGAGCGUCAUAGAGGGUGAGAAUCCCGUCUUUGACACGGACUACCAGUGCUCUGUGAUGCGCUCUCAAAGAGUCGAGUUGUUUGGGAAUGCAGCUCAAAAUGGGUGGUGAAUUCCAUCUAAAGCUAAAUAUUGGCGAGAGACCGAUAGCGAACAAGUACCGUGAGGGAAAGAUGAAAAGCACUUUGGAAAGAGAGUUAAACAGUACGUGAAAUUGCUGAAAGGGAAACGCUUGAAGUCAGUCGCGUCGGCCGGAACUCAGCCUUGCUUUCGCUUGGUGUACUUUCCGGUCGACGGGCCAGCAUCGAUUUCGAUCGUCGGAAAAAGGCAGAGGGAAUGUGGCACCUUCGGGUGUGUUAUAGCCCUCUGUUGCAUACGACGGUUGGGAUCGAGGUUCGCAGCACGCCUUUAUGGUCGGGGUUCGCCCACGUUCGUGCUUAGGAUGCUGGCGUAAUGGCUUUAAACGACCCGUCUUGAAACACGGACCAAGGAGUCUAACAUGCCUGCGAGUGUUUGGGUGGAAAACCCGAGCGCGUAAUGAAAGUGAAGGUCGGGACCUCUGUCAUGGAGGGCACCGACGCCCGGACCUGAAGUUCUCUGACGGCUCCGCGGUAGAGCAUGUAUGUUGGGACCCGAAAGAUGGUGAACUAUGCCUGAAUAGGGUGAAGCCAGAGGAAACUCGUGGUGGAGGCUCGUAGCGAUUCUGACGUGCAAAUCGAUCGUCAAAUUU